rnacentral:rRNA from 1 species
AGCGAACGCUGGCGGCAGGCUUAACACAUGCAAGUCGAGCGGACCUUUCGGGGUCAGCGGCGGACGGGUGAGUAACGCGUGGGAACGUGCCUUCCGGUUCGGAAUAACCCUGGGAAACUAGUGCUAAUACCGGAUACGCCCUUAUGGGGAAAGGUUUACUGCCGGAAGAUCGGCCCGCGUCUGAUUAGCUAGUUGGUGGGGUAACGGCAUACCAAGGCGACGAUCAGUAGCUGGUCUGAGAGGAUGAUCAGCCACACUGGGACUGAGACACGGCCCAGACUCCUACGGGAGGCAGCAGUGGGGAAUAUUGGACAAUGGGCGCAAGCCUGAUCCAGCCAUGACGCGUGAGUGAUGAAGGCCUUAGGGUUGUAAAGCUCUUUUAUCCGGGACGAUAAUGACGGUACCGGAGGAAUAAGCCCCGGCUAACUUCGUG